CAGGGGCACUGAUAGAGGCGAAACGAUGAAAACAUUUGCCAUAAAUCUGCACUUUAUUGCUGGAACUAUUGAAGGAUUCGCGGAAACACCUCGUCCGUCUCUGGGAUAUUUGUGCACUUAUCAAUUCCAUUUAAGCUGGAAGCUCAUCUCUGCAGACUCUGAUGGUGAUGGGACGUGGAGACCUUCAAGGGACGUAGACACAAUCUGGCCGAGUCAUCCUCCCAAGCAGUCUGGAAUGCUUUUUCAAUACUG